rnacentral:tRNA from 1 species
ACUUAAAUAAUUUAAAUAAAAUAUUGAUUUGUGGAAUCAAAAAUGUAGUAUAAUUUACUUUAAGUU